rnacentral:rRNA from 1 species
CAAUAGCGUAUAUUUAAGUUGUUGCAGUUAAAAAGCUCGUAGUUGGAUUUCGGGUGGGACGCAGCGGUCUCGCAUUGCGUUUGUACUGCUGCAGCCCUCCUUCUUGCCGGGGGCGGCCUCUCGGACUUCACUGUCUGGGGGUCAGAAUCGGCGAUGUUACUUUGAGUAAAUUAGAGUGUUCAAAGCAAGCUUACGCUCUGAAUAUAAUAGCAUGGGAUAACACGACAGGACUCUGGCCUAUCGUGUUGGUCUAUAGGACCAGAGUAAUGAUUAAGAGGGACAGUCGGGGGCAUUCGUAUUCCGUUGUCAGAGGCGAAAUUCUUGGAUUUACGGAAGACGAACAUCUGCGAAAGCAUUUGCCAAGGAUGUUUUCAUUGA